rnacentral:rRNA from 1 species
CAACCCUUAUCCUUUGUUGCCAGCGGUUCGGCCGGGAACUCAAAGGAGACUGCCAGUGAUAAACUGGAGGAAGGUGGGGAUGACGUCAAGUCAUCAUGGCCCUUACGAGUAGGGCUACACACGUGCUACAAUGGCGCAUACAAAGAGAAGCGACCUCGCGAGAGCAAGC